rnacentral:rRNA from 1 species
CAUGCAAGUCGAGCGAGAAAGUGACUUCGGUCGCGAGUAAAGCGGCGAACGGGUGAGUACAACGUGGAUAAUCUACCCUAGGGUCUGGGACAACCCCGAGAAAUCGGAGCUAAUACCGGAUAAGACCACAGUAUCCAAGGAUACAGUGGUAAAGGAUUUAUCGCCUUUGGAUGAGUCCACGUCCCAUCAGGUAGUUGGUAAGGUAAAAGCUUACCAAGCCUAAGACGGGUAGCCGGCCUUAGCGGGUGAACGGCCACAUGGGGACUGAGACACGGCCCUGACUCCUACGGGAGGCAGCAGUGGGGAAUAUUGGGCAAUGGGCGAAAGCCUGACCCAGCGAUGCCGCGUGAGGGAUGAAGGCCUUCGGGUUGUAAACCUCUGUCAGGAGGGACGAUGGGACACUUGUGUCUUGACGGUACCUCCAGAGGAAGCCCCGGCUAACUCCGUGCCAGCAGCCGCGGUAAUACGGAGGGGGCAAGCGUUGCUCGGAAUUACUGGGCGUAAAGGGUCCGCAGGCUGUCAGGCAAGUUGGUUGUGAAAGCUCAAGGCUUAACCUUGGAAUUGCAUCCAAAACUGCCUGACUAGAGUCCAAGAGAGGUUGGCGGAAUUCCCGGUGUAGCGGUGAAAUGCAUAGAUAUCGGGAGGAACACCAGAGGCGAAGGCGGCCAACUGGCUUGGAACUGACG